CCGAGUUUACAACUCCCAAACCCCUGUGAACAUACCUACUUGUUGCCUCGGCGGAUCAGCCCGCGCCCGGUAAAACGGGACGGCCCGCCAGAGGAACCCCUAAACUCUGUUUCUAUAUGUAACUUCUGAGUAAAACCAUAAAUAAAUCA
rnacentral:misc_RNA from 1 species